rnacentral:lncRNA from 1 species
CCGGGUUCCCGCCCACGUCUCUCCUUCCGGGGCUCUCACUCCAUACCUCCCCACAAGCUGAGGGAGCCGGCUCCGGCCUCAGCCAGCCCAGAAAGGGGCUCCCACAGUGCAGCGGGCUGAAGGGCUCCUCAAUAGCGACCAGAGUGGGCACCAAGGCCGAGGAGGCACCAAAAGCGAGUGAGGGCUGCGAGGGCUGCGAGGGCUGCCAGCACAUUGUCGCCUCUCAGUAGGGUCUUUGAGAGACAAGGUAUUUCACUGUAACAGACAUCAGACUAAAAGGAUCUUGCUAUGAUUCCCAGGCUGAUCACAAACUCCUGACCUCAAGCAACCCUUUCACCUCAGCAUCCCAAAGUGCUGGGAUUACAGGAUGAUCCACUAUGUCUGGCCCAUAAAUAGGAGGGAACAAGUAAAAACAUGGCAAUAUGGCAAAACAAUGAAACAUUUGUUAAUGAAUUGAAAACAGCAAAACUGGAAGUUUCCUAGACAUCCGUGUUCUUAAAGGAAACCACGAAUUUCUGAAGGAAAUGUUGAAGACACAGGGAAGGGCAGAAUAAAAGCAAAGAAUCCUUGAGACUGUCAACAGAGCUCUGGCGGGCCUUAAGGAAUGCACAUCUAGCAGACUCUCAAGUCCCUAAUGAUAUUUUGGAAGACUUUCUGGCUACUUUGCAACAACCUGAGUAUUUUUGGUACUAUUAAGGGGUCUUAAACCUCCUUAAGUCAAAUGCCAUUUCCCAGGCAAAGAUACGGUACACACUGCUACCAUAGGCAAGAAAGUAAUUUUGUAAAUCCGUUGUCUCCAAGAAUUUAAAGUGGUCGUCAUCUUAAGUGGGUGCUUAAACCCAUAUAGACGUGGUGUUUGAGAGGCAUGUGGAAAUGUAAGCAGAAAAAAGAAAGCAAAUAAGAUAGCAAAAAUAAGUUCUAAUAUAUUAGCAAUGUAUUUGUUCUUUAUAUAUUAGUAAUGUAUGUGUUCUAUACAUUACUAAUGGGUAUAUGUAUAAGGUAGUAAUUAUUUUAGUAAUGUAUAUGUUUUAAGAUAUUAGUAAUGUAUAUGUUCUUUUCUAAUUAGUAAUUAGAAAACAAAUGUAAAUGGACUAAUUUUACUAUCUGAAAGAAAAAUCAUGUUAAAGAUGAUGCAUAUUUAUAAUAUAGCAUUUGUCAUAAUCAUGAGUUUUCUGAUCUAUUCUUGCCUACUUUCCUAUUAAUCUCCUCCAGCCUCUAAACUACAGUGUUCAGUUUCUAUUGUAAACAGUUUUAUUUUCAAUACCUAUAAAGUGCUUGACACACAACAAUAUUUAUUAGGUGGAUUAAUGAUAGAGUUGGUGCCUAUGGCAGGAGAAAAAGGGACUUUUCUUUCAGUGGCUUAGGCCUAUUGUUGAGGACAGUUGCUCUUACAAAGGGGUAAGAAGAUUCCCAUUGUCUUUCAUCUCAAUUAUAUCAUAAUAUUCAUAUGGUUUCUAUAAUGGAAUGUUUGGUAAAUUGCAAGCAAUACACACAAACAACUUUCAGAGACCCCUUUACCUAAAAAGUGAAAGUCAGCUAUAACUGAAGAUCAGCCUUAAUUUAAAGCAACAGAGCAUUAACUAUAAAAAUAGAUAUGACAUAGUUGUGAGAGAUGUAGCAGUGACCUUUGGGCAAGCAUUAUAUUUAUUUUUAAAUUAAUGCUAUAAUUUUAUAAUCUACUUAAAUCAAUGCAUUUAGCAUGAUUUCAAUAUAAAUACUGAAGCAAUGUUACUUUAAUCCGUAGUCUAUUUAUUUUGUGCUAUUCAUGAUUUAUAUUUCUAUUGUUACUUGACUACUAAGUGACAGAAUCCACUCAUUAUCCAGAAAUUAUAAAUGUAUUCAGACACAUUUGGAACUGAAAGCUAGCUAGGCUUCUAUUUAAAAAUAAAAAAGACAUAUAUUCAGCUUGAGAGUUGAUAUACAAAAUUUUCCAGUUAAAGGUGUAGAUCUUAGACAGUUAAGGACAUACUGGGGUCUCAAACAAGUGGACUAACUGACACGAAUGCAUCUGGGAGGAGGAGACCAUUCAUCCUCUGUACAUGGAACUGUGGUCUGCACAUUUGAAAGACUGUAGCCAGGAUAUCCUCAACUUUUACAGAUUGACUCUGUAAAGAUAUUCCUUCAUAUUUUGUGUUAUAUCCAUUCUCCAAAUAACUGAGAAUACAUUGUCCUAAAGACCAUAAAAUGAUUAAAAGGUAGAUUAGGAACAUGAAUUUGAUCAAAAUAGUAUAUUAAAAUAAUUUUUUGAAUAUUUAAAUAAGACUGCAUCAGUACACAAAAAUGACGUAUCACUGAAGGAAAACUAAAGCUACUACUAAAUGUUUGUACAAAAAGGUCAGUAUUCAAUGUUACUUAUCUUUAGUUUUUAUGAUAAAAUAUGUUUAAAUUAUAUAGGUAUUCUCAUAAGGUUCCUAUAUUUAUUUCUCAUGUGAUUUUCAUGAAGGUCUCAUAACAGAAAAGAUCUAGUUUGGUGUUUUUGCAUGAACAACUCUUCCUUUGGUACCAUCUCUGUCAUAUAAGACAAUGUAAUCAUUUGUUUGCUCUUCUCUCUCCAUUCUUUGCAAGUUUUAUGCACAUAUUGUUGUAAAGAGGUU